rnacentral:lncRNA from 1 species
GAGGUUUCUUUCCAUGGAUGAGGUUGCUGGCCUGGUCUCGGGUAUAAAGGAGAACGCUGCAUGUCCUCCCUCAUCAGUCUCCUGGAAACCUGCAGCUCGCUAAGUCUACUCUUACAAUAUGAAGUUCUCCCUGUUCUUUUUGGUGGCUAUGGCCUGCCUGGUGGCAGUUUAUGCCAUGCCAGGCCCUGUUGCCCUCGCUGGCCCUCAUCCCGGGGCAUACCCAGAUCCUUCAGCUGACCCUCACUGGGGUGGUGGCUACGGCGGCUGGGGAGGCCACCACCACCAUCACCACGGCCACCAUCACUGGGGCUAACUUACUCGACCGAUUUCUGGACGACGAUGGCAAUGGCAACGAUGGACGCUCCACACUUUCUGUCUUCCCUUUAGCGUCUCUCAUUAAGUGAGAUUGGGCAAGGGUUAGAAUUUACCUUGGAUUACACUAGAAAUUAAUUACUGAUGGGAAUUUUUUUAUACAUAAAUCUUCAAUGGGGAUAAUUGUAAUUUCUUACAAAAUAAAUUCUGUACGUUUA